UACGUAGGGACCGAGCGUUGUCCGGAUUCAUUGGGCGUAAAGAGCUCGUAGGCGGCCACUCAAGUCGAAUGUGAAACCUCGAGGCUUAACCUCGAGCCUGCAUUCGAUACUGGGCGGCUAGAGUCUGGUAGGGGGAUCUGGAAUUCCUGGUGUAGCGGUGGAAUGCGCAGAUAUCAGGAGGAACACCGGUGGCGAAGGCGGGAUCCUGGGCCAGUACUGACGCUGAGACGCGAAAGCGUGGGGAGCGAACAGG
rnacentral:rRNA from 1 species